GAUGAACGCUAGCGGCAGGCUUAAUACAUGCAAGUCGUGGGGCAGCAGGUUUGUAGCAAUACAGAUGCUGGCGACCGGCAAACGGGUGCGGGAACACGUACAGAACCUUCCUUUGAGCGGGGAAUAGCCCAGAGAAAUUUGGAUUAAUACCCCAUAGUAUAAUGAAGUGGCAUCACUUUAUUAUUAAAGAUUUAUCACUCGAAGAUGGCUGUGCGGCUGAUUAGGUAGUUGGCGGGGUAAAGGCCCACCAAGCCUGCGAUCAGUAACAGGUGUGAGAGCACGACCAGUCACACGGGCACUGAGACACGGGCCCGACUCCUACGGGAGGCAGCAGUAAGGAUAUUGGUCAAUGAGGCAACUCUGAACCAGCCAUGCCGCGUGGAGGAUGAAGGUCCUCUGGAUUGUAAACUUCUUUUAUAUGGGACGAAAAAGGCUUUUCUAAGUCGUCUGACGGUACCAUAUGAAUAAGCACCGGCUAACUCCGUG
rnacentral:rRNA from 1 species